CCUGCGCAUACUCUCGCUCUCGCACUCGCACUCCCUUCAGGUCCGCCAGCUGCGGCGCCACCGCCGCCCAGCCCCACGGAACUCCUUUGGCACCAUGUCUUCGCCUCCUGAAGAGAAACUAGAGACUAAAGCUACCCGCCCGCAGUCCUCUUGCUCAGCCAGUCAAGCAGUCUGCAAGAUCUUCUAUAUGGGUGCAGCUUCUUCAGAGACCCUCAGCUCUACACCACCAUGUGAGUGAAAGCUGGUGGAAUGUGGAUCAUGUAGAAACACCCACAUUCUGGAGACACCAAGGAAGAAAGAGACAAG